UACGGAGGGUGCGAGCGUUGUCCGGAAUCACUGGGCGUAAAGGGCGCGUAGGCGGCGCAGGACGUCAACGGUGAAAGUUCGGGGCCCAACCCUGAAUCGGCCGUCGAUACUCCUGGGCUCGAGCACUGUAGAGGCAGAUGGAAUUCCGGGUGUAGCGGUGGAAUGCGUAGAGAUCCGGAAGAACACCGGUGGCGAAGGCGGUCUGCUGGGCAGUUGCUGACACUGAGGCGCGACAGCGUGGGGAGCAAACAGG
rnacentral:rRNA from 1 species